rnacentral:rRNA from 1 species
GACGAGCGCUGGCGGCGUGCUUAACACAUGCAAGUCGAGCGGUAAGGCCCUUUCGGGGUACGACGAGCGGCGAACGGGUGGAGUAACACGUGGGUGACCUGCCCUCAGCUCUGGGAUAAGCCUGGGAAACCGGGUCUAAUACUGGAUAUGACUCCAUGACGCAUGUUGUGGGGUGGAAAGCCUUGUGCGGCUGAGGAUGGGCCCGCGGCCUAUCAGCUUGUUGGUGGGGUGGAUGGCCUACCAAGGCGA